AUGACAACGGGGUCCGGCCCGGGCGGCCGGUGCCAUGAGGAGGACGGACCGAGGCGAGGUAGUUGGAGAGGUUUCCAUACUUGCAGAACUCAACAAUAACCAUGAGUGGACCUGGUGAGAAGAGACCUAAGGUUAAGGCAAGAGAUGCUUCCACCACCUUCCCAAAGGCACCAUGACCCAGGACUUUACCUAUGGACAAGGAGA